rnacentral:rRNA from 1 species
CUACGGGGGGCACCAGUGGGGAAUAUUGCACAAUGGGCGCAAGCCUGAUACAGCCAUGCCGCGUGUAUGAAGAAGGCCUUCGGGUUGUAAAGUACUUUCAGCGGGGAGGAAGGGAGUAAAGUUAAUACCUUUGCUCAUUAACGUUACCCGCAGAAGAAGCACCGGCUAACUCCGUGCCAGCAGCCGCGGUAAUACGGAGGGUGCAAGCGUUAAUCGGAAUUACUGGGCGUAAAGCGCACGCAGGCGGUUUGUUAAGUCAGAUGUGAAAUCCCCGGGCUCAACCUGGGAACUGCAUCUGAUACUGGCAAGCUUGAGUCUCGUAGAGGGGGGUAGAAUUCCAGGUGUAGCGGUGAAAUGCGUAGAGAUCUGGAGGAAUACCGGUGGCGAAGGCGGCCCCCUGGACGAAGACUGACGCUCAGGUGCGAAAGCGUGGGGAGCAAACAGGAUUAGAUACCCCAGUAGUC